GGGAAACCGAGAGUUGACACGAAAUAUAGGCCUUCUUUCCCACUCUUUUGCCUCUGACGACGUCUUUCGUCUUCUCUUCGGACUUCCUUUCUAUGAAUCCUCCGGAGGGACCAAAAACUCGUUUCUCGACUUUUGAGAAGAAGAAUAAGGAGACCCCGUUGAGAAAGAAGGAGUGCUCCCGGCCGUUUAUAAGCUUUCUUUCCUCUCGUCUAU
ensembl:ncRNA C50H2.15 ncRNA